rnacentral:rRNA from 1 species
GAUGAACGCUGGCGGCGUGCCUAAUACAUGCAAGUCGAGCGAACAGACGAGGAGCUUGCUCCUCUGACGUUAGCGGCGGACGGGUGAGUAACACGUGGAUAACCUACCUAUAAGACUGGGAUAACUUCGGGAAAACGGAGCUAAUACCGGAUAAUAUUUUGAACCGCAUGGUUCAAAAGUGAAAGACGGUCUUGCUGUCACUUAUAGAUGGAUCCGCGCUGCAUUAGCUAGUUGGUAAGGUAACGGCUUACCAAGGCAACGAUGCAUAGCCGACCUGAGAGGGUGAUCGGCCACAUUAGAACUGAGACACGGUCCAGACUCCGACGGGAGGCAGCAUUAGGGAACCUUCCGCAAUGGGCUAAGGCCUGACGGUGCAACGCCGCGUGAGUUAUGAAGGUCUUCGGAUCUUAAAACUCUGUUAUUAGGGAAGAACAUAUGUGUAAGUAACUGUGCACAUCUUGACGGUACCUAAUCAGAAAGCCACGGCUAACUACGUG